UGGGGAAUUUUGGACAAUGGGCGCAAGCCUGAUCCAGCAAUGCCGCGUGUGUGAAGAAGGCCUUCGGGUUGUAAAGCACUUUUGUCCGGAAAGAAAUCCGUCUGGCUAAUACCCGGACGGGAUGACGGUACCGGAAGAAUAAGCACCGGCUAACUACGGGCCAGCAGCCGCGGUAAUACGUAGGGUGCGAGCGUUAAUCGGCAUUACUGGGCGUAAAGCGUGCGCAGGCGGCUUUGUAAGACAGAUGUGAAAUCCCCGGGCUCAACCUGGGAACUGCAUUUGUGACUGCAAGGCUAGAGUGCGUCAGAGGGCGGUGGAAUUCCGCGUGUAGCAGUGAAAUGCGUAGAGAUGCGGAGGAACACCGAUGGCGAAGGCAGCCUCCUGGGAUGACACUGACGCUCAUGCACGAAAGCGUGGGGAGCAAACA
rnacentral:rRNA from 1 species